UGGGGAAUAUUGCACAAUGGAGGGAACUCUGAUGCAGCGACGCCGCGUGAACGAAGAAGGCUUUCGAGUCGUAAAGUUCUUUUAUAUGGGAAGAUAAUGACGGUACCAUAAGAAAAAGCCCCGGCUAACUACGUGCCAGCAGCCGCGGUAAUACGUAGGGGGCUAGCGUUGUCCGGAAUCACUGGGCGUAAAGGGUUCGCAGGCGGAAAUGCAAGUCAGGUGUAAAAGGCAGUAGCUUAACUAUUGUAAGCAUUUGAAACUGCAUAUCUUGAGAAGAGUAGAGGUAAGUGGAAUUUUUAGUGUAGCGGUGAAAUGCGUAGAUAUUAAAAAGAAUACCGGUGGCGAAGGCGACUUACUGGGCUCAUUCUGACGCUGAGGAACGAAAGCGUGGGUAGCAAACAGG
rnacentral:rRNA from 1 species